GCAUGCCUGGUGAAAAGGAAUUAGAAAGUCAAGUGUUACCAUAAAAGUACAUUGCUUAUGGUAUUUGAAUGGUAAUGGAGACCAGGUAAUUACUACUGGACCCCAUAUGAUAUAGAGUUUUAGGCUACAUUUACACUGCAGACCUUACAGCGGCACAGCUCUACCGCUAUAGCUGCAUCGCUGUAAAGUCUCCCUUGUAGCCCCGCUCCCACCAACAUAAUUAAACCACCCCUAACGAGCAGCGGUAGCUAUGUUGGUGGCAUAGCACUGUCUCCAUCGGUGCUUUUGUUGGUGAAACUUUUUUGGGGAUGGGGGGGGGGGGAAGUUACACCCCAACCAAUAAAAGUUUUACAGCCAAAAGUGCCAGGGUAGACAUAGCAUGACAACUAAAGCUCAUUACCACUCAAUGAAUGAUCAACCUGUCAUCAGAAAAGUGACACAGAAGACUAAGGCUAAGUCUUACUGACAUGCGACCAAAAUAAUGAUUGGCACCUUUUUUGCUAGUUUCAGCAAAAAGGCCAUGAUUAAGAGUCCAUUAAAGACAGACUGACACUUUCACUUGUAAAUGUGGUCUCUAUAAUAGGAUUGAGGCUAGAUGGCUAGAGAAGCUUGCACUGCCUCUUCUGUAUCUCUUCAGUGGCUAGAGUACUUCAGCUUCUGAACUACCAAUACAGCAGAAGAAUUAGACAGGAGACAGAAACAAAAUAAAUUUCCUCUACAAUUUUCCUGCACAUAGUUCAACUAAGCUCAACAUGAUCCAAAGAUGUAUGAGACAAAAAGAGGCUCAUUAACUGAGCUUCUGCAACACUAGAAAACCAGGCUAUUCCCAUGUUAUCUAGUGGAUCGGUUGUCAAACUACAGGCCUUAGACCACUGGACACCUGUGGAACAUUUCUUGGUGGGCUGCAGAGAGCUAGAUGGCUAACCAUGUGAUGCUGGCUAUUAAAAAUUUCAUACUAUAAAAAAAAGUUUAAGAACUCCUGAUAUAUCCAGAAAUAUUUUCCAGUUCUCUCUAUUUGCAUGUUAGAUGUCUCCUACACAUAAAUUAAAAGUGAGUUUAACAUUUAGAAUUUCUCAUUUAUUUAGAACUUUUCUUUAGAAAACAAGAGCAUCAAUAAAGGAAUAUUAGGUUUUAUGAAUUUCUGUCCAAGGCGACUCAGCUACAUGGUAUGGGAUCAAUUCUAUAACACUACACAGUAGAUAAUUUCACAACUAUAAGAGACUAAUCCAGAUUUGAAUUCAGAAGUAGAAAAAAGUACUAUUAGACAAAGUAAUUAAUCUACCUCUGAUUUAUAGGUAGGAUGUUAAAAUGCAGAGACCAAAUACAAACAGACCAAAGUGUAAAAUGGUAUGAACCAGGAGGAGAAAUCAUCAAGUAGUAUUGCUUGCGACUGUCCUAAACAAAGUGGAAAAGCUAUAUUAAAAACCUUUAAAACCAAAACCAUAAGAGAAGUCAGAAUUCUAAAAAAAAAAGUUGAGAAUUCUUAAGUCCACAAGGAAAAAAAAAACCAAAAAAAACCCCCUAAACAUACCCCCCCCUUAUUUCAUUAUAUUAAGAAAUUAUGAGACUACAAAACCAUUAAGUAUUUGAGUCCUAUCAGGAGUCAGUCUAAACACAGAUUUGGUACUUUGCAUUCCACCCAGAAAGCUAGCAAGUAGAUAUUUCUACUAAAAUGAUUAGCAUUUAAACAGUUUAUGUAUUAAGCAGUUAGCAUUGGUCCUUGUGUGGUUAUUCUUGAACAAUGAAGUUAUUUCAGUGACAUGAAGGCAGGUCAAUCACUUCUGUCAGCAUAUACCGAGACAGCCUCAUGCAUCGCUUCACAUUUACAAGGUUUUUUUUUUGAAGCUAAAGAGGACUAGAAACCAUUUUUGUUUUUAAAAAUGAUACCACCAAAGAGAAAAGCCAGUAUGGCAUAUCGAGUGCCAAUUCAACUCAAUCCCUGGUUGGAUGGGAUGACUUCCAUCAGGUAAUCAACAACCCCAAUACAGCUAUGCCCCUACCAAUACAAGAGCCAAUCAAUGACUCAGAACAAUGGGACACAUUCAAGAUAUUCAUCAAAUUUUCAGAACACUACAUGACACAGGACAUUUGAGUGCAAUGGUUUUGAUUACAUUUCAAUUAUAGAGUUAAAGUGACACCUAGUGGAUAGUCUGAUAUACUUGGAUAAGCUAUUCUACACCUAGGUUACUAUUAAUAGAUGGUUAUUUGACUAAAAAGUUAUUUUCAGUAGUAAAUCCACCAUAUGUAUUAAAGCUAUUCCUCUUGUGGCUUACAUGGCAAAGAUGUGUAUUAAAUACUUAACAUCUUUACUUACUUAACAUACUUAACGCACAAGGCUUGAAAAAUCCACUCAAUGCUGAGUAAAUAGUGUUCGCUCUGAAGCGCAUGUACAUGGAGAGGGUCUGGCGGUAAGGAGGUGUGAGAAGUACUAAUCAAUUUCUGCAAAAUUUAAGCUGAUACAGCGCUUUCUUUAUGAUUCUGCAAACAAGGCCAUCAUUUCUAAUGCUGCUUAUCUUUUUCCCCAAGCAGCAAACAAGAAUUGCCCACUGUGUUCUUUCUUGAUGAAAGCUGCAAGCAGCAGCCUAGGUAGGCACUAGAGCCAGUCACAGAAAGGUUUGUAAAAGAGGUUAGGAGCAACAUAACAGAACCCGUGAUGCCCCAGCUGCAACCAAGUAGCUUUAGUGUGCAAGAGAAAUCUUUAUCUUCCGUCCAAGCAGUGGUGCUCCUUGCAUCUUUUGUUUGCAACUAAGCUUAGUGCUCUCAACAAUAUUUUUUAAGUCUUUUCCCCCAAAGCUGAUACUUUCUUGGACCUGUAGGUGCUUUGUGUUAAACCAGCAAACACAGCUGAAGUCUACAAGAGAUUCUAAUAUCUGAACUAAAAUAUUAGAAAUGUUGCUACUUAGCUGCCAUUUCCAUGGAAGGAUAUACUUUUGAUAAGCACUGAGGAAAAAAAAAAUGCUUCACUUUAAA